ACCGGCUAAAAUGGCGUCUACGCAAUUACGUCAGGCGUCAGAUCCGCGCACGACUAGAGGGCGGGAAAGAUUUGAGCUACGCCUGCGCAGAGUUGAGAAGCUGAUGUCUCCUCGACUUCCAACUGGAACCUUGAACCCCCACAUUUCUGGACCUUGAGCAUUCCUCAAGUAGGAAGAUGUAAUGCACCUUGACCUCUUUCUAAAUAAGACACUUCCCCAAAUAAGGGGAGUUGAGAGUGAACAGUCUUCACGUCUCCACCCACUUCCAGAUCCCAGAGGAGACAGACAUCGGAUGGCUGUUACCUCCUCCUAAAAUGUCUGCAUUUACCCAGAUAAUCUUCCAAUGGAAAUCCAUGGUUCAAGUGCCACCUCUUCAGGAAAGCCAUCUGACUUCAAUCAGAAUCGACCACGGAAAUUUGACACCUCCGGGCUUGGAAGCAGCUCUCUCCUCCUUCCCCGCUGCUUAUAAACCUCAGCCCUGAGGCUCCAGCUCACUCUACCCCAUCUC
rnacentral:lncRNA from 1 species